GUAACUGCUAAGGUUUGACUAAGAUCAAGUGUAGUAUCUGUUCUUAUGAGUUUAAUAUCUGAUACAUUCUCCAUAACUGGACAACAUAUUAAAUGGAGUUUUAACACUGGGAGCUGAAAAAGGGGCUUGCUCUGUUUGCUCCAUCGACCCGGUGCUGCAGAGCUGCCAGGAAGGGUGCACCUUUG